rnacentral:rRNA from 1 species
CGGCAGGCCUAACACAUGCAAGUCGAACGCACUCUUCGGAGUGAGUGGCGCACGGGUGAGUAACGCGUGGGAACGUACCCUUCGGUGCGGAAUAACCACUGGAAACGGUGGCUAAUACCGCAUACGCCCCUCGGGGGAAAGAUUUAUCGCCGAAGGAUCGGCCCGCGUUGGAUUAGGUAGUUGGUGUGGUAAUGGCGCACCAAGCCGACGAUCCAUAGCUGGUCUGAGAGGAUGAUCAGCCACACUGGGACUGAGACACGGCCCAGACUCCUACGGGAGGCAGCAGUGGGGAAUAUUGGACAAUGGGGGCAACCCUGAUCCAGCCAUGCCGCGUGGGUGAAGAAGGCCUUCGGGUUGUAAAGCCCUUUCAGGUGGGAAGAUGAUGACGGUACCACCAGAAGAAGCCCCGGCUAACUUCGUGCCAGCAGCCGCGGUAAUACGAAGGGGGCUAGCGUUGUUCGGAAUUACUGGGCGUAAAGCGCGCGUAGGCGGAAACGUCAGUCAGAGGUGAAAGCCCAGGGCUCAACCUUGGAACUGCCUUUGAUACUGCGUUUCUUGAGUCCGGAAGAGGGCGGUGGAAUACCCAGUGUAGAGGUGAAAUUCGUAGAUAUUGGGUGGACACCAGUGGCGAAGGCGGCCGCCUGGUCCGGUACUGACGCUGAGGUGCGAAAGCCGUGGGAGCAAACAGGAUUA